rnacentral:rRNA from 1 species
GAUGAACGCUGGCGGCGUGCUUAACACAUGCAAGUCGAACGAUGAACCUCACUUGUGGGGGGAUUAGUGGCGAACGGGUGAGUAACACGUGAGUAACCUGCCCUUGACUCUGGGAUAAGCCUGGGAAACCGGGUCUAAUACUGGAUACGACCUUCUGGCGCAUGCCAUGUUGGUGGAAGGCUUUUGUGGUUUUGGAUGGACUCGCGGCCUAUCAGCUUGUUGGUGGGGUAAUGGCCUGCCAAGGCGACGACGGGUAGCCGGCCUGAGAGGGUGACCGGCCACACUGGGACUGAGACACGGCCCAGACUCCUACGGGGGGCAGCAGGGGGGAAUAGUGCACAAUGGGCGCAAGCCUGAUGCAGCGACGCCGCGUGAGGGAUGAAGGCCUUCGGGUUGUAAACCUCUUUAAGUAGGGAAGAAGCCGGCUUUUGGGUUGGUGACGGUACCGGCAGAAGAAGCGCCGGCUAACUACGU